GAUGAAUUAUCAGAGAAUAGCAGUGCCUGUAUAUUUGUGUGUAUGUUUAGGAGAUGAAGACUUUGGACAAAGAGGUGUGUGCGUGGGACGUCUACAACGGUUUGGAAUCCAUCGGUGAGUUUUGUGAUGGAUGAGAACACCACACUUUGUGAUCUCUUAGAGCUGCAGCUCCACCGUGUGGAGGAGGAAGUAAAGAACAUUGUGGACAAAGCAGUCAAAGAGAUGGGAAUUGUAUUCUGCGUGAGAUUCAGCAGACAUGAUCCAUGAUGUCCCUGUCAUAUGAGACAUAUACAAGUACUGGAACACCUCUGCUCAAAGCUGAUGAAAACCUCAUUGAAACCCUGGAGGAUAACUUCCUGUAUCAGUCAGCUGGGUUUAGCAGUUCCAAACAAUUCUACAUAAUAAACGUUCACUUUGUUCAGGCCAGUUUGGUUCUGUUAAGAUCAGAUCCAUUUAUUUUGGUGAUGAUCAGUUUAAAUUAGUCUAAUUCUAAUUCCAAUUAGUUUGAUUCAAUUCAGUUCUGAUCAGUUUAGUUAAUUAUUUUAAUUCAUUUCAGUUCAAAUCAGUUAUGUGUGCUCAUGAUCAGUUCAGAUCAGUCUAGUUCCGAUCGGUUCAGUUUGGCUUCAGUCAAACUUCUAGUUCAGUCAGAUUUAAGUCAGAUCAGUUUGGUUUGGUUCUGAUUAGUUAAAGUCAGAUCAAUGUAGUGCAGUUAAAUUUCAGUCAGAUCAGUUUGGUUUGGUUCUGAUUAGUUAAAGUCAGAUCAAUGUAGUGCAGUUAAAUUUCAGUCAGCUCAGUUUGGCUCAGUUUAGGUCAAUUCAGUUAAAUUCAGUUGUGUGUGUUACGCAGGUUCAGUUGCAGAAUAUGUGGAGUAUUUCAUGGUGGAAGUGAGCGGCUGGCAGCGGAAGCUGGUGCUGGCUGAUCUGGUCAUUGGGACAUGGUUGGUGGUUCAGAGCACAUGGGCUGACCUCCAGAGCAUUUUCACCAACUCUGAGGACAUUCGGACCCAGUUGACCCAUGAUGCAGAGCGGUUUCAGGGCAUCAAUCAGGACUUCCAGGUAGCACAGACUGGCAGUCAAAUUUGGUGAGAAAAUGACUGUGUUUGUGACCGACUGUAUUGACCGACUGCACUUUUGAUGUCCAUGCUCGUGAUGUAGUUGCAAAACUCAUAUCUCAGAAG